rnacentral:antisense_RNA from 1 species
UGACUCUUCCAGGUUACAAAGUCAGCUCCAGGAUCAAAUAACUUUGGGCUAGAUCACGAAGGAGUUGAAUGCCAAGCUAAAGCGCUCAGAGGUUCUCCUGCGAGUAGUAGAGAACCACAAAAGGAUGAGGAGCAGCUGAGUGAGGCACCCGUGUUGUAUUUUAGUAAAAUCUCUCUGCAUUGGAGACUGCAUGGACCAGGGCGUUGCUCCUGGACAAGGUUAUAGCUAACUCAUUCUCUGCUGAGCCUGUUAUACCUCCCAGACAGGGGUAUAUGUCAGAGCCAUUCUUCAAGAUCAGAUGACCUGUUAAGUCCAAGGACUCAUCUGAACCAUCAGUCACUCUCUGGCCCAGAGAGGUGGUGUUGUUUGCCAAGGACACACAGCAGGUGGCCAAGAUGGAGCCAAGCCAUUUUCCCCACUGCAGGGACCCCUGAUCUCCAUAAGUGUCCCUGACAUUUCAAGGGCACAAAUUCUCUGGACACACGGAGGGAAUAAUGCUGACAUUUUAUAGAAGCUGACCCACUGGAUAUCCUUCUCACCCAACUCCAUUAGGCUAGGGAGAGUAAGAGGCAUGGUGACAAGGUGGCAAAGAUGUCACCAUGCCAUCCAAUCACGAGGUCUCCAGGAAACUGU